UCCGCGCUGGCCGAGGCGCAGGCCGCUUCGCAACAGGCGCAGAGUAAUGGUCAGCGGCUGGAUCAGCUCAACGGCCGCGUCGAUGGCAUGGACC
rnacentral:tRNA from 1 species